GUCACCUCACCCUACCAUACUAACUGGAGUCCCAUCUCACUUGCCUCCAGCAUGCAAUAUUCCUGUAGAUGCUUCCCCCCUCAUGUAAUGCUGUGAGCUGUCAAGGGGCUGGUCCCCCCUCCUAAACCUAGUGCCUAAAAAAAAAGAGAGACCCCUCUGACAACUCACAGGCUUACUGCGGUUGCAUAUAGAUAAUCUAAAUAUUAUUUUAAAUAUCAACAAAUUUGAAAUGUUUAUCCACACAAAUUACAUCUGGGCCUAUAUUUGCAAAAUUUGGUAAAAAUCCUAG